GACGAACGCUGGCGGCGUGCUUAACACAUGCAAGUCGAGCGGAGCGGCGAACGGGUGAGUAACGCGUGAGUAACUGCCCCCCUCUCUGGGCUAACAGUUGGAAACGGCUGCUAAUACCGGAUAGUGGGGGAUGACUCGCGUCCUAUCAGCUUGUUGGUGGGGUAGUGGCCUACCAAGGCGACGACUGGUAGCCGGCCUGAGAGGGCGACCGGCCACAUUGGGCUGAGAGACGGCCCAAACGCCUACGGGAGGCAGUAGUGGGGAAUAUGGCACAAUGGGGCAACCUCUGAUGCAGCAACGCCGUGUGCGGAAGGACGGCUUUCGGGUUGUAAACCGCUUGAAGACAUGACGCGGUAGUGUCAGAAGAAGCACCGGCUAACUACGUGCCAGCAGCCGCGGUAAUUC
rnacentral:rRNA from 1 species